rnacentral:pre_miRNA from 1 species
UAUUGAAUAAUUUUUUUUUUUUUUGAUGCUGUUAACUGUCUUACCCAGGUAUAGGCAUAUGGAACCUGGUAUCUAGCGUUGCGAACCUAGGCGAUAGGUUUGUAAUUCUAGAUCUCAGGCUCCAUUCCUAUGCCAGGGUAAGACAAUUAAUAACAUAAAAAAAAAGUUAACUAUUGAAUA